rnacentral:lncRNA from 1 species
GGGGGGUGUCAUCAUUUCUAUCUUUCUUUGUUCUGUCAUUCUUUUGGUCAUUCUUAUCUAUUCAGUAAGCAAUAUGCUUAUUCUUUAAAUUAUGUGUCCCUUUUGAAUUUGCCACUGUACUACACAAAUGAAACCAUUAAUCAAAUUUUAUUAAUAUCUGAUUGAAAACAAACACGGAAAAAUAUAAAUAUUUCGAUUUAUUUAUGAUAAAUUGGAUAUGAGGGAUAACAAUCAAUAGAUCAGCUGAAAUUAGUUAUGUCACCCUGAUGGAGGUCGGGUGACAUAUUGUUAUUGUACAAUUCUUUUUUCC